GGCCAAGAAGGUAGCCGCCUCAACCGGA
rnacentral:sRNA from 1 species